AAUGGUCCUGUGGUCAGGUACGAAAAAAAUAUUGUGAACAGGGGUGAUGACAAAAAUGGGUUGGUUCCUAUGGAUGGAUUCUACCUGACCCGGUGCCACUACAUAAUUAUUCACUGUACAUGCACAUGUAUUGUCCAGAUGAAGGGGACAGUCACCUUGCUGGCAAAAAACUUGGGAUGGAGGACCUAUACUUACAAACACGCUAGGAACUCGUCUGGAAGAAGCUCAUUUCCAGAUGUCCUGGCGAUGGAGGCAGUUACGACACACCAUUCACUGAUCAGCUGCCUCCCUAUUCGGUCUGCUAAUAAGCAGAUGGAGCUGUGUGGACCUCACAAAAGCGGAGGUUCCACCAAUCUGAUGCCCGGGGAAGCCAAGCAUUACUGCAGCCCAGACAAAGAGACUGGUCCAACUUGGCCUGGAGCACAGCACUCUGGUGACACUGAGGUCCAAGAGUGGUAUUACACACAGGCUUUCAUGGAAGCUCUGAAGGGGAAGGGAGUGAAAAGCAAGGCCCUUUGUAUCAAGCUAGCAAAGCUAGUUCAUAGUUUACCUUCAAAGUCCAUCAAAACAGCAGCCAACCCUGGAAGAAGUCUAUGAGCCAGCCAAUUGUCAGCGCUGUCUGUAGCCCCAGCGUUGCCUAUCUCUUCUCUUCAGGCUACUAACGGCUCUUGAUCUUCAACGCUAAUUCUGCACUCUACGUACGCAAUUGGGGCGUGGUCUACAGGCUUACGUCUUAAUUUUUUUUUGGGGGGGUGUGAAAGCUCUCCAUCUCGGGGCUAAGAAAAAAUUACAUUGUACAAAAGAAGGAAGUAGUUCAGUGAUAGUAAUUAUGUAGCAGUCAAAAAUAAAAACAAUAAGUAGUUCAUAGAGGAAUUAUGUAUUCAGGGGGGGGACUCGCCCCUCCUGAGAUACAAGGUUGAUAUUGUCCAUGUAGACAGGUCUGUGCAACGAUGAGCGGCUUCCUCAAAUGCACAUUAUUGCAGAGCGGAUUGAUGCAAAGGAUAGCCUGCAUCUAAGCCAUCCCAUUACAGCUGGGUAGGGAUUUUGUCUUUUCAAGGAUAAUAAAUCAGCGAGCCUCUUGUAGAAGGUUGCUGCUUCUUUGCCCAUUCCUCCCCAGGUUGAGAGGACUAAGGGUGUGAAGACUCCCCGCUCGAUUUCUUACUUACGAUUUCUUACUUACGUCUUAAUUUAUACUCUAGCGUACGCGUACGCUAGAGCCAGAUAUAAAAAGUGUUCGAUCUGACUAUCUACGUACAGGACUUGGUCUAUAUUUAGCAUGCUGCUAUAAUUAGGUAAGGUGAACAAAGUUACGAGCUGACUUUGUCCAUAUACGGUCUAGAUUUUUCUCUAGAGGGUGUGUCAUGACAAAAAAAUUCUCAUAAAUGGAUAACAAAGGGAUUUUACAACAAAAGCUCUUCGUAAUGUUGAAGAGCUGUGUGUAGUGCACCUGCAAACAAACGAUCAAGUCCAUAGCUCUACUGGUUUCCUAGACGGAACUUCUUUUAGCUAGAUAAUGAAAAUCAAGUGUAAAAUCUGUUCUCAUCAUCCUUUCCUCUCCAUUUUUGGAGUGCACACUAGUAGAGUAUUGCUUCAUAAUCCUGUGAAGGAUGGUAGUUCUUUCAUAGUUAGCUUUUCCCUAGCAAGUGUGUGUGUGGGCGUACGUGGGCGUAGGUGUUCCAGCACCCUUAACUGCACCCAGUUGCUCACUCUCUAGCUUGUCUUUCCCUUAGCAGGUGGUCAAACUCCCUGUUUUAAGGCAGAGUAUAGCUAGCUAUAGCUAGCUAGCUGCAGUACUCCUCGAACUCAACAAAGCCAUGCUGCAGCUUCAAUUAAUUGUUCUGGUAGUAAUAGUUAGCUCUAUAUAAGGCACAUCAAGACAGUAAAACUGGUAAGCGAAGACUAGCAGCUAAACUGGACUAGCCAGUACUUAUAGAAUGUAAAGCAGUGGUCGGAAAGGCUAAGUGGUGGUCGGAAAAUAUCUAGUGGUGGUCGCAGCUUACCUAAACGACCACUGUAGGCAGAACCCUGCAAAUUGGGUAACUGACCCCCCCCCCCGACGCGAAGUUGGUGCAUGCCAAACUAGGGGGGUCCGGGGGCGCAUGACAAUUUUGGAUAUUUGGGUGCUUAGAUCACUUCUGGUGCAAUACUGCUAAUUUUUUUAAAAUGAUUGUGCAGGCUGUGUUGGAGCUAUGCACACGCUGUAGGUACCAGCACAUGCGCAUUGAGCUGCUCUUUCACAUGGUAUUUUCAUUGUGCUGCCUCGAGGUACGCUUCAUACAGUAUUGUCGAAAGAAAAGUGACCAAUUAAUAAUUGCUACCAGAUCUUUGUAGGAUAAUCUUAGCGAGGCUCUAGCAGCUAGACAGUGAGGAUAUCGAUGCCUAUGGCCUUGUUGAGUCAGGGGAGUGACUGCCAGAUAGGAAGCUACUUCUCAGAGUUCAAGUUAGAAAAUAAAGAGCCAGAGGAAGAAGGUCAUGAAGCUCUUGAGACGACCAAGUUCCUGGACCUGGUGAAGAAAACAUUU